rnacentral:rRNA from 1 species
UAAUACGAGGGGUGCUAGCGUUGUCCGGAAUCAUUGGGCGUAAAGGGUCCGUAGGUGUCUUUGCAAGUCGUUUGUUACAUUCACCGGCUUAACCGGUGGCCUGCAAUCGAAACUGCAAGGAUAGAGUUCGAGAGAGGAAAGUGGAAUUCCUGGUGUAGCGGUGACAUGCGUAGAUAUCAGGAGGAACACCAAUGGCGAAGGCAGCUUACUGGCUCGAUACUGACACUGAGGGACGAAAGCGUGGGGAGCAAACAGGAUUAGAUACCCUGGUAGUCCACGCCGUAAACGAUGAGUACUUGAUGUCGGAGGAUUCGACCCCUUCGGUAUCGUAGCUAACGCGUUAAGUACUCCGCCUGGGGACUACGGCCGCAAGGCUG